GGGCUUAUUAAUAGUAGAGCUUUAUCCUCAUUACUUAAGGAUAAACUGGAUUAAUGAUUUCUAAAGUGCUCAUAUGACUUGGGUAGGGAGCAUAUUAACAAUAGAGCUUUAUUCUCAUCACUUAAGGAUGCAUUAAUGAUUUCAAAAAUACACACUUUGUUAAACUCAUCAAAAUGAUCAUCAAGGAUAAGCCUUAUAACAUCC
rnacentral:lncRNA from 1 species